rnacentral:lncRNA from 1 species
UCCCCUGCAAUAGAAGGUUCUACCCAAGUGUUAGGAGCGUUUCGAGUUUUCUUCCUCUUUGUGUCAUCUUUAGUUCCAGGUCGAGUUUCCUUUUCUUUUUUUUAGGGUUUUUUUUUUUGAUUCUCAUUUUCAAUGGCAAGUAAAAAAGCUUCAUCCUCUCGAGAUAGUCAGUCAAAGAAUCCGACCGACGAUUCUCCUUCAGG